UGCCAGCAGCCGCGGUAAUACGAAGGGCUCGAGCGUUAAUCGGAAUCACUGGGCUUAAAGCGUACGCAGGCGGACGCGCAGGCAUCUUGUGAAAGCCCUCGGCUCAACCGAGGAAUUGCUCGGUGAACCGCGUGUCUUGAGGCAAGUAGGGGCUGUCGGAACGCUAGGUGGAGUGGUGAAAUGCGUUGAUAUCUAGCGGAACGCCGAAGGAGAAAUCAGGCAGCUGGGCUUGCUCUGACGCUGAGGUACGAAAGCGUGGGGAGCGAACGGGAUUAGAUA
rnacentral:rRNA from 1 species